GGGGGGUAAUGAGGAUGAUUUCAUUACUGUAGGUAAGUACAUUGCCCUUAAAGUAGUGUAGUGUUAUUUGAAAAUAUAUUUGAAUUAGUAGUAAAUUUAUAUUGCAAACUCAAGGGCAGACAUUAAAAAGGUGAGAAAACAGAAGUGUAACUGAUAUGUUAAAAAAAGGAGAGAAGGUCAAGCAUGGUGGCUCAUGCCUGUAGUCCCAGCACUUUCAGAGGCCUAGGUGGGUGGAUUGCUUGAGCCCAGAAGUUCGAGACCAGCUUGGGCAAACCUGGCAAAACCCUGUCUCAACAAAAAAAAAUUUAAAAUUAGCUGAGCAUGAUGGUGCACACUUGUAGUUCCAGUUACUCAGGAGGCUGAGGUGAGAAUAUUGUUUGAACCAGAAGUUCAAGGCUACAGUGAGCCAGAUCAUACCACUGCACUCCAUCCUGGGUGACAGAGCUAGAUCCCGUCUCAAAAAUUAAAAAAAAAAAAAAAUAGAGAAAAAAUAAUCAUAUAAAAUGCUUACUGAAAACCGCAAAAGGCAGAAAGAGUAGAAGACAAAAAUAGGAACAAAAAACAAGGAUAGCAAAUAGCAAACAGUAACAAAUAUAGUAGAUAUUAAUCCAACUAUAUGAAUAAUCACUGGUCUAGAUGCACCAAUCAAAAGAGAAUGCCAGAGUGGAUCAAAAAACAAGAGCCAAGUGUAUGUUGCCCACGAGACACACAGAAUAAAAGUAAAAGAUUUAAUCCUUUUGGGGUUCAUAAGCGUGAUGACUGGGUUUUUGACACUCAUGUGUGAGAUGCACUUCUCUCAAACCUUUUUGCAAUGUUGGCAUACUAUCAUACCUGCUUGAUGUGGAAAAAAAAGUAAAGGAUUUGAGAAAGAUAUACCAUGCUAACACUAAUAAAAAGAAAGGGACAGUAGCCAUAUUAAUUUGAGGCACAGCCAAUUUUAUAACAAGUAAAAUUAUCAGGAAUAAAUGGGGUAUUGCAUAGUAAUAUAGGGGGUUAAUUCUGUAAGAUAAUGUAACAAUCCUUAAUGAAUAUACAUCCAACAACAGAACAUGAAAAUACAUGAGUCAAAAACUGAUAGAUUUCAAAGAGAAAUAGAUUAAUUCGCUAUUACGUUUAGAGACUUCAACAUGACUCUGUUAAAAAUGAAUAGAUCAAGCAGGUAAAGUACUACUAAGGUCGUAGCUGAAUUCAACAACUGGAUGUUAAUCAACUGGAUAUAACUUACAUCUAUAGACUUCUUCAUCCCACAACAGCCAGUUACACAUUUUCCUCAAGUUUACAUGAAACAUUUACCAAGAUAGACCAAAU
rnacentral:lncRNA from 1 species